rnacentral:rRNA from 1 species
GAUGAACGCUGGCGGCGUGCCUAAUACAUGCAAGUCGAGCGAACGGACGAGAAGCUUGCUUCUCUGAUGUUAGCGGCGGACGGGUGAGUAACACGUGGAUAACCUACCUAUAAGACUGGGAUAACUUCGGGAAACCGGAGCUAAUACCGGAUAAUAUUUUGAACCGCAUGGUUCAAAAGUGAAAGACGGUCUUGCUGUCACUUAUAGAUGGAUCCGCGCUGCAUUAGCUAGUUGGUAAGGUAACGGCUUACCAAGGCAACGAUGCAUAGCCGACCUGAGAGGGUGAUCGGCCACACUGGAACUGAGACACGGUCCAUGCUCCUACGGGAGGCAGCAGUAGGGAAUCUUCCGCAGUGGGCGAAAGCCUGACGGAGCGGCGCCGCGUGAGUGAUGAAGGUCUUCGGAUCGUAAAACUCUGUUAUUAGGGAAGAACAUAUGUGUAAGUAACUGUGCACAUCUUGACGGUACCUAAUCAGAAAGCCACGGCUAACUACGUG